UGAAAUCAAUUUUUUUGAAAUCCGUUGUUGAAGUUUUAUUGCUACGUGAUGUUGAUUUCAGGUUCUGCUGUUCUUGAUUUCUUUGAUCUAUUGCUGUAAAGGAACACUCGUUGUGGAUUUUUGGAUUAUUGAUUUCAAGAAUUUCGUAAUUCUUUUAAUCUUAUUUUAUUGGAUUGUUGAUCAGUUAUCGAGACUUGUUUGCAUAAUUUGUGGAUUAUUGGAUGUAAUUCUUCAUCAUUGGAUAACCGAUAUACUGUUUAUCCCUUUUGCAGCGAGAUGAAUCUAGAUCAAUUUUGUGAUCCUUGAAAAUCUGGAUAGCAACAGAGAAUGGUUCAGAUAAAUCGAAUUGAACUUUGAACAUGAUUUCAUUCCUUGAUCUGGAUAGAACGUAUCUUAGUUUUGUUUGCUUCGUCAUGUUUCGAUUUCAGGAUUUGCCUUUUGCAGUGAGCUGAUAAGUUUUUGAUGUCUAGAGCAGACAUGAUACAAUAGAUAAGAUUGGAGAACGGUCCCCGAUAGAUAAAUCAAAUUUCUUCAAUGAAUCUUUUUUUACUACUAUUUAUUUUUCGGAUUUGAUUUUAAGACGCGGAAUUGAAUUAAGAACUUGCUUUUCUGCAGUGUAGUUUGUCAAAAUGUUAACCUUCUUCGUAGCAUCGAGAUGGAGCCUAGAAUUAUGAUUUGGUGAUAGCCUGUUUUUCUGCAGCGCAGUUUGUCAAAAUGUUAACCUUCUUCAUAGCAUGGUUUGUGUAUACAAUAUAUGAACAAUAUGAAUUCAUAGAGGAGAAGACAAAAAGGAACUAAUCACUAUUUACAUCGAUGCAAUCAUGAAGAAAAAAUAAAUAAUAAUAAGUAAUAUAAAAUCUAAUCUUUAAAGAUAUUCUAAGAUACUUUAAUAUAAUAUUUAAGACACUAAAGAUAUUUUUGGAUGUUUUAAUGGGUUGAUCUUCAUGUUAUGUAAUUUUUUUUAGGUUUUAUUUGGUUGUUGGUAUUGAUCUUAAAGUUUGUUGUUCUAUUUUUAUUGAUCUGCUACUAUUGUUAAGUUUCUUUUGUCGAUUGUUUUGGGAAACAGAUAGAUGCAUGCUUAUUACCUCUCGUAGAAUUGUGAAUUGAAUACAUGUACCUGUUUACUGUAGUGUAGUAUGUUUGGAAACGAAGAAUUCAGUUAUGAAGCAAUCAGGUUUAUUUUCGUACACACUUCUUGGAUUGUGAAUUAUUUUCAAUUCAUUUAUUCUCGGUGGAGUUUUAUUGUGCAAUCUUGUUGACGAGUCUAUUUUGAUGACAAGUUUAUUGAGGUGUGGUGAAUGUUGGUAUUGAAAAGUUUCCUUAUGCAUCAAUACAUUUAAGUUUUUGAUUUGUAAUCUGACAGUGUGAAAGUUACAAAAUUCUGGAUAAAUUGAGAGUGAAUAGCGUUGUGAAGCUCGCUUCCUAACUAUGAUCAGGGACUCGGUUUGGAUGAUUAUGUUACUCUAUUUAUUCAUAGCUUUUUCUACAACUAUUUGUCACAUCCCGAUUUUAUUGAACAAGUAUGAUGUAUCAUCUGGUGUUCACAGGGUGCCACAGAAGUCUUCCUUCUCAAUCCCCUUGUUAACUUUUCUGUCUGAAGUGGAUAAGUUACCUUGUCAUGUUUUGCUGGGAUUAAUUUGGUGAUGUGAUUUGAGAUUUUAACAUCUCUGCUUACAUGAUUCUUGAUUAUUCCCUGCUAUCUUGGGUGAGAUUAUCUGAUAAUGGUUAUUCUUUGAUCAUGUUCAAGAUGGUGUUGAUUGUGUAUCCACUAUCCAGAACCUUUGUACUACUCUAGCAAAGAUUACAGGAUUUUGGAAUGACUCUUUGGCCUUUCCAAGGUUAGGAAUUUUGGACAACUGGAUAUAAUUUGAUUCUGAUUAUUUGUUUGUUGGUGAUAACUUAACUUUGUUAGGGAGGUUUUCUAAAUCUUCAUUAUUGUUUUUAUUGUGAUUUGUGAUUGAUGAUGAUGAUGAUGAUACUCCUAAAAAAAUACCUUCUUCAUUAUAGUGGCCAAAGGACUCUUCAGUAUUUGGAAGAAGCCAAAAUCAUGUUAUUUCAUAUGGGUACAUGAUUGCAAAUUGGAUUGAAAUUUGGUCAACUCUUCUAAGACUCUUCUUUACAUUUAUACUCAACACAUAAAAGGUCAGUUCCUUUGAGUUUUCUUUGUGGUUGUUAUAGGCGACAGAGCCUAUAAUGUGGUUGUUAUAGGGGAGAGAGCCUAUAAAUGUGUGGUUCACUGUGGAACCCAUGUCAGACAGAGGUUCACAUACUUGCUGUUCAGCUUGGGAUUUUGGAUGGUGUCUGAAUCUGCAAUUGGCUACUGUUGAUGUGCUUUCAUUUGGUUAUCUCUACUCUGACUAUGCAUUUUUCAUGUUGCUUUGUAUAUUUUGAGGAUAUAGUUUUCUUGAUUCCAAGGACUUGGUUUGUUUUGGUGUUAUAUAGGAGAGAGCUGUGAAUGUACUGUCGGAUUUGAAAGUUUUGAGCCUUUUGAUUCAACAGGUUACUUUUUUCCUGGAGUGUUUGUUCUGGAAUAGGUGUCCUAGUAUGAUGUGGCAAUGCUGGUAUUUAUUUAUGUUCAGAUUUAUGAAUCUGAGUAUUAGCCGUGCAUCUCUUUGUUGGAUAUAAUCAAGAUAUAAGACAUAAGUCUGUUUUGCAGUGAGUUGAACAUUUGUAGAUACUUGAUACAUUUUGUAGUGAGCUGAUCAAUUUUUUAAAAUCCCUUCCUAAAGUUUUAUUGCUACCUGAUGUUUUCAGGUUUUGCUGUUGUUGAUUUCUUUGAUCUAUUGCUAUAAAGAACCCUCGUUAUGGAUUUUUGGAUUAUAGAUAUCAAGAAUUUAUUAAUUCCUUUAAUCUUCUUUUAUUGAUCAGUUAUCGAGACUUGUUUGCAUAAUUUUUGGAUUAUUGGAUGUAGUUCUUCAUCAUUGGAUAACCGAGAUACGUGUUUAUCCGUUUUGCAGCGAGAUGAAUCUAGAUCAAUUUUGUGAUUCUUGAAAAUUUGGAUAGCAACAGAGAACGGUUCCAGAUAAAUCGAAUGAACUGUGAACUUGAUUUUUAUUCCUUGAUUCUAAAGUUUUGUUUGUUCGUGAGAUCCGUCGCUCAGUUUUGUUUGCUUCGUCAUGUUUCGAUUUCAGGAUUUGCUUUGUUGAUCUGUUGAUCUGAAGAAGUCUAUUGGAUAUAAGUUUUGAUAAACUGGAUAACAACAUAGAACAGCUCCAGAUAAAAAUCAAAUUGAACUGUGAACAUGUGUUUCUUGAUUUGCUCUUGGAUUUUGGUUUCAUGAUUCCAAAAUUUGAUUUUUCACGUUUCUUGAUUUGUUAUCUUGAUUGUUUACUCUGAGAAAUCUUGAUUUCAGGGAUCGUUGUUCUUGUCCAUUCAUGCUAUGGUUUUCUCAGAUUGUAGAUAUGAAGAAUUUUACAUGAUAACACUUCUAUUCACUCUACUUUUAAUGCAUCAUCGGUUAUCAAUAUUUAUUUCAAUAACUUUUGUAUAUGAUUCUCAAUUGAUAAUCGAUAAUCGAGUUAUACAUUUAUCCGUUUUGCUUUUGCAGUGAGUUGAAAAGUUUUUGAUGUCUAGAGCAGACUUGAUACACAAUAGAUAAGAUCGGAGAACGGUCCGGAUAGAUAAAUAAAAUUUCUUCAAUGAAUCUUUUUUACUACUUUUAUUUAUUUUUCGGAUUUGAUUUUAAGACGCGAAAUUGAAUUAAGAACAUGCUUUUCUGCAGUGUGGUUUUUCAAAAUGUUAACCUUCUUCAUAGCAUGGAGUGGAGCCUAGAAUUAUGAUUUGGUGAUCUCUAUUAAUCUUCUUCACAACAUGGUUUUGUGUAUAUGAACAAAAUAGUAUGAAUUCUGUUUUUUGUAAAUUGCUAUAACAAACACUAACCACUAUUUACAUAGAUUCAAUCUGAAGAAAAAAUAAAUAAUAAUAAGUAAUAUAAAAUCUAAUCUUUAAAGAUAUUCUAAGAUGCUUUAAUAUAAUAUCAAACAUACUAAAGAUAUUUUUGGAUAUUUUAACGGUUUGAUCUUCAUGUUAUGUAAUCUUUUGAGGUUUUAUUUGGUUGUUGGUUUUGUUCUUAAUGUUUGCUGUUCUUUGUUUAUUGAUUGAUCUGCUACUAUUAUCAAGUUUCUUUUGUCAAUUGUUUUGUGAAACAGAUGCAUGAUUAUCACCUCUCGUUGAAUUGUGAAUUGAAAACAUGUACUUGUUUACUGUAGUAUGUUUGGAAACAAUGAACUUCAAUUAUGAAGCAAUCAGGUUUAUUUUUGUACACACUUCUUCGAUUGUGAAUUAUUUUCAAUUAAUUUAUUCUCUGUGGAGUUCUAUUGUGCAAUCUUCUCGGCAAGUCAAUUUUGAUGACAAGUUUAUUCAGGUGUAGUGAAUGUUGGUAUUGAGAAGUUCAGUUGUAGGGUUUCCUUAUGCCAUCAAUACAUUUAAGUUUUUGACUUGUAAUCUGACAGUGUGAAAGUUACAAAAUUCUGGAUAAAUUGAGAGGGAACAGCUUUGUGAAGCUCUCUUCCUAACUAUGAUCAGGGACCCGGUUUGGAUGAUUAUGCUACACUUUAUUUAUUCAUAGCUUUUUCUACAACUAUUUUCACAUCGUGAUUUUAUCGAACAAGUAUGAUGUAUCAUCUGGUGUUCACAGGGUGCCACAAAAAUCUUUCUCAAUCACCUUGUUAACUUUUCUGUCUGAAGUGGAUAAAUUAAAGAUGACUUCCUCAAUCACCUUGUCAUGUUUUGCUUUCUGCGGUAUCAUCUAUUGUUGGGAUUAAUUUGGUGAUGUGAAUUUAGAUUUUAACAUCUCUUCAUACAUGAUUCUUGAUUAUUCCCUGCUACCUUGGAAGAGAUUAUCCGAUAAUGGUGAUUCAUCCUUGGGAUAUAAUUGGUCUGUAAUAUAUUUAUAUGUAUAUGUAUAUUUUUUCCCGAAUAAUUAAUUAUAUUUUGAUCAUGUUCAAGAUGGUGUUGAUUGUGUAUCCAGAUCCUUUGUACUACUCUAGGAUAGAUUACAAGAUUUUGGAAUGACUCUUUGGCCUUCCCAAGAUGAGGAAUUUUGGACAACUGGAUAUAAACCUGAUUCUGAUGAUUUGUUUGUUGGUGAUAACUUAACUUUGUUGGGGAGGUUUUCUAAAUCUUUAUUACUGUUUUGUUGUUUUUAUUGUGAUUUGUGAUUUAUGAUGAUGAUGAUGAUACUCCUAAAAAGAUACCCUCUUCAUUAUAGUGACCAAAGGACUCGUCUGUAUUUGGAAGAAGCCAAAGUCAUGUCAUUUCAUAUGGG
rnacentral:lncRNA from 1 species